GUUCAUUUCGACAGAAAAUUCUCAAGUGCGAGAGAGAGAGAGAAGAUCGGUUAUGGCGAGCUCCGCGUUUGCGUCUUCUUGGUCGCUCAGUUUGCUGAAGCUCCAAGACCAGGCGUCGCCGGCGACAGCAAAGUCAAGCACCAGAUUACGAUUCCGUGAAGGUGGAUUAGGCAGAAUUUGCUGCGAUCAUUCCUGCUUCGAAGCUAAAAGUGUUGGCUACCGUCCACCGGGGACCCAGUUCAACCUUCUCAAAGAUGUUAGUUUUUCCCUCCCUGAGAAAAGUUUUGGCUUGAUUUUUGGUCAGAGUGGAAGUGGAAAAACUACUCUAUUGCAGCUUCUUGCAGGACUCAACAAACCAACUUCAGGUUCUAUCUGCAUUCAAAGAUAUGGCGACAGUGGUGAACAUAAAGGACCUCCUGAACAUUUGUCUCCGGAGAAAGUUGGCAUUGUCUUUCAGUUUCCUGAGAGGUAUUUCAUUGCUGACAAUGUGCUGGAUGAAAUUACAUUUGGAUGGCCAAGGCAAAAAGUUAGCAUUCAGUUGAAGGAGCAACUUGCUUUCAAACUUCAAAGAGCUUUCAAUUGGGUUGGAUUGGACAGAAUUUCCUUAGACAAGGAUCCUCACUCCCUAAGUGGUGGCUACAAACGUCGACUUGCUCUGGCAAUCCAAUUGGUUGAAGUUCCAGAUUUGUUGAUAUUGGAUGAACCUCUGGCUGGUCUUGAUUGGAAAGCACGUGCAGAUGUCGUGAAGCUUUUAAAGCAUCUGAAAAGAGAAGUAACGAUACUUGUUGUCAGCCAUGACUUGAGGGAAUUAGCUUCUUUGGUAGAUCGAUCUUGGAGAAUGGAAAUGGGAGGAACUCUGAGAGAAGAUUCGCUGCCGCCUUUGUAGAGACGCCAUAAAUUGCCACCUAAGACACCGGUAUUAUUUCUGUCAUGUAAUUUCCAACAAAUGGUUUUUUCUUUACUUUUUUUUUAUCAUAACCUUGACAAGGGAACAUUUAAUGCCCAUAAAGGCAUUUUCAUGAAUAUACACAUGGAGAAAGCUAAUAUAUGUGAGGGGGAUACUGAAAGAAGAGCAAGUUAGAGGACCUCAUAUGUCACAUGAAUUUGCCACCAAACUCACUUAACAGUUGAUACAGAUUGGAAACUGUAAGCUCAAUAUUUUUUGGUCCCAGUGAUUGGAGUUUGGGACAAGAUUUGAUUGUACUUGCUUGUUGGCAUUUGCGGCAUCAAUUUCUUUUGUCAAAUGGGAUUCUGAUUUUCUUGCUCUUGUUUAGCACCAGUAGCGAAGCUCCUUGGACUUUGACUUACUUUUCAAAGAUGCAACACGUUUAAGUGGACUUCUAGCAUGUGGAGAAAGGAGUUAUUGACUGCCAAACAUCCAUGUUACAACUCAAGAGAAGGCACUGACUGUAGGAUCCACCUUGAUGACUUUCAUACAUGAGCCACAAUAUAAUUCACUAGUAGAAGACCUGUAUCACUAUCGGGUUCUUAUGUUUUUGAACUUGCUUGAAGGUAUUCCUAAAUAUAUAUGAUCUUAAGUGUUGUCCUCUAAUAAUCCUCCCAGAAUGAACUAUUCUUUUAAAUAAUAUUUUAGCAUCCUUUUUUCAGCUUUGUAUGCUCUUGUGAUUAAUUUGUUAACUCCCAGUUUUAUCGAACUCGCCUUACUUACUAUUUAGAAUAAUGUCUAGCUAGAUGUUACAAUCUACAUGUGUUAUUGCAAUGUAUUGGUUGAAUAUGAGUGUACUAGGUUUUUCAAUUUCCCCCACUAAGGUGUGUAUGAUCGUUAGAGAGUAAUGGAGUACCUGCCUCUAUUUAUUAUGCAUGUAUUCUGGAAUAGUUUGUUUAAUUUAUCUAUUUAUUUUCCUUCAUGCAUGUUGCUUAUAUUUCUGUGUGGUAAUAGUCAAAGCAAUAAUAUGCUGGAACUGUUUUCUCCCUUGGGCAUUUUUUUUUUUACGGAUAUUACCGUAUCAUCCAAAUGGUAUUUCUUUUAAAAAAAUCUUCUUGUUUGUAAAUUAUGUCGUGUAAUUUGAAAUAUAACUACAAUUCUUGGCACGCAUUUAUUUAAUUUGUGUAAUACUUGAGAGAAUAUAUAGUAUGCCUAAUUGAGAGUACCAUAUGAGGACAAUAUGCAACUGAAUAUUGCUCUAUUUAAUUAAUUAAAAUACUUAAUAAAAAUUUUAAGAGCAUAUACCUUGAUGUUUUUCAACUUCACUCGAAAUAUGUUACGUAAGUUAAGUAAAUCUAUGCCAUAAUCUGUACUAAACAAUUGUUAAGUUGUAUUUGUAGGUAAUAUUAUGGUUAGAGUUACAAGGAAUAAAUCAAGAUUCUUUCUGUUUCGAGUAAUGUGAUUUCGGCUUUAAUUUGUGAGAAUAGCAGAGCCAGCAGAGUUGAGUCUUGUGGCUGUGUGGUACAUGGCUCAACCACGACAGUUGUACCGAUUUUUCUAUUUUCCUACUGGAUAUUCUUUGGACGAUGGAGCUUGCUGAAUUCAGGCUUAUGCUACUAAUUAGAAAGUUGAGCACUCCACCUUUUAGACUUUCAAUAUGCGGUUUAUAAGUCCAGUGCUGGGUAUUAUAUAGUUUGUAGUUUUCUUCUGUGACGAAUUUGGACUUAAUUUUGGAAAUGGAGCAUUCAGAUUCCAGCUUAUGCGACUACUCGAGAAAGUU